UAAUGUACAUUAUGGUUUAUGUCUAGUUAAAGGGGUGACUAAUGUAAUGUACAGUAUGGUUUAUGUCUAGUUAAAGGGGUGACUAAUGUAAUGUACAGUAUGGUUUAUGUCUAGUUAAAGGUGUGACUAAUGUAAUGUACAGUAUGGUUUAUGUCUAGUUAAAGGUGUGACUAAUGUAAUGUACAGUAUGGUUUAUAUCUAGUUAAAGGUGUGACUAAUGUAAUGUACAGUAUGGUUUAUAUCUAAGGUUAAAGGUGUGACUAAUGUAAUGUACAGUAUGGUUUAUGUCUAGUUAAAGGUGUGACUAAUGUAAUGUACAGUAUGGUUUAUAUCUAGUUAAAGGUGUGACUAAUGUAAUGUACAGUAUGGUUUAUAUCUAAGGUUAAAGGUGUGACUAAUGUAAUGUACAGUAUGGUUUAUGUCUAGUUAAAGGUGUGACUAAUGUAAUGUACAGUAUGGUUUAUGUCUAGUUAAAGGUGUGACUAAUGUAAUGUACAGUAUGGUUUAUGUCUAGUUAAAGGUGUGACUAAUGUAAUGUACAGUAUGGUUUAUGUCUAGUUAAAGGUGUGACUAAUGUAAUGUACAGUAUGGUUUAUGUCUAGUUAAAGGUGUGACUAAUGUAAUGUACAGUAUGGUUUAUGUCUAAAGUUAAAGGUGUGACUAAUGUAAUGUACAGUAUGGUUUAUGUCUAGUUAAAGGUGUGACUAAUGUAAUGUACAGUAUGGUUUAUGUCUAGUUAAAGGUGUGACUAAUGUAAUGUACAGUAUGGUUUAUGUCUAGUUAAAGGUGUGACUAAUGUAAUGUACAGUAUGGUUUAUGUCUAGUUAAAGGUGUGACUAAUGUAAUGUACAGUAUGGUUUAUGUCUAAAGUUAAAGGUGUGACUAAUGUAAUGUACAGUAUGGUUUAUGUCUAGUUAAAGGUGUGACUAAUGUAAUGUACAGUAUGGUUUAUGUUUAGUUAAAGGUGUGACUAAUGUAAUGUACAGUAUGAUUUAUGUCUAGUUAAAGGGGUGACUAAUGUAAUGUACAGUAUGGUUUAUGUCUAGUUGAAGGUGUGACUAAUGUAAUGUACAGUAUGGUUUAUGUCUAGUUAAAGGUGUGACUAAUGUAAUGUACAGUAUGGUUUAUGUCUAAAGUUAAAGGUGUGACUAAUGUAAUGUACAGUAUGGUUUAUGUCUAGUUAAAGGGGUGACUAAUGUAAUGUACAGUAUGGUUUAUGUCUAGUUAAAGGUGUGACUAAUGUAAUGUACAGUAUGGUUUAUGUCUAGUUAAAGGUGUGACUAAUGUAAUGUACAGUAUGGUUUAUGUCUAGUUAAAGGUGUGACUAAUGUAAUGUACAGUAUGGUUUAUGUCUAGUUAAAGGUGUGACUAAUGUAAUGUACAGUAUGGUUUAUGUCUAGUUAAAGGUGUGACUAAUGUAAUGUACAGUAUGGUUUAUGUCUAAAGUUAAAGGUGUGACUAAUGUAAUGUACAGUAUGGUUUAUGUCUAAAGUUAAAGGUGUGACUAAUGUAAUGUACAGUAUGGUUUAUGUCUAGUUAAAGGUGUGACUAAUGUAAUGUACAGUAUGGUUUAUGUCUAGUUAAAGGUGUGACUAAUGUAAUGUACAGUAUGGUUUAUGUCUAGUUAAAGGUGUGACUAAUGUAAUGUACAGUAUGGUUUAUGUCUAGUUAAAGGUGUGACUAAUGUAAUGUACAGUAUGGUUUAUGUCUAGUUAAAGGUGUGACUAAUGUAAUGUACAGUAUGGUUUAUGUCUAAAGUUAAAGGUGUGACUAAUGUAAUGUACAGUAUGGUUUAUGUCUAAAGUUAAAGGUGUGACUAAUGUAAUGUACAGUAUGGUUUAUGUCUAGUUAAAGGUGUGACUAAUGUAAUGUACAGUAUGGUUUAUGUCUAGUUAAAGGUGUGACUAAUGUAAUGUACAGUAUGGUUUAUAUCUAAGGUUAAAGGUGUGACUAAUGUAAUGUACAGUAUGGUUUAUAUCUAGUUAAAGGUGUGACUAAUGUAAUGUACAGUAUGGUUUAUAUCUAGUUAAAGGUGUGACUAAUGUAAUGUACAGUAUGGUUUAUAUCUAGUUAAAGGUGUGACUAAUGUAAUGUACAGUAUGGUUUAUAUCUAAGGUUAAAGGUGUGACUAAUGUAAUGUACAGUAUGGUUUAUGUCUAGUUAAAGGUGUGACUAAUGUAAUGUACAGUAUGGUUUAUGUCUAGUUAAAGGUGUGACUAAUGUAAUGUACAGUAUGGUUUAUGUCUAGUUAAAGGUGUGACUAAUGUAAUGUACAGUAUGGUUUAUGUCUAGUUAAAGGUGUGACUAAUGUAAUGUACAGUAUGGUUUAUGUCUAGUUAAAGGUGUGACUAAUGUAAUGUACAGUAUGGUUUAUGUCUAGUUAAAGGUGUGACUAAUGUAAUGUACAGUAUGGUUUAUGUCUAAAGUUAAAGGUGUGACUAAUGUAAUGUACUGUAUGGUUUAUGUCUAGUUAAAGGUGUGACUAAUGUAAUGUACAGUAUGGUUUAUAUCUAAGGUUAAAGGUGUGACUAAUGUAAUGUACAGUAUGGUUUAUGUCUAGUUAAAGGUGUGACUAAUGUAAUGUACACUAUGGUUUAUGUAUAAAGUUAAAGGUGUGACUAAUGUAAUGUACAGUAUGGUUUAUAUCUAAGGUUAAAGGUGUGACUAAUGUAAUGUACAGUAUGGUUUAUGUCUAGUUAAAGGUGUGACUAAUGUAAUGUACAGUAUGGUUUAUGUCUAGUUAAAGGUGUGACUAAUGUAAUGUACAGUAUGGUUUAUAUCUAAGGUUAAAGGUGUGACUAAUGUAAUGUACAGUAUGGUUUAUGUCUAGUUAAAGGUGUGACUAAUGUAAUGUACAGUAUGGUUUAUGUCUAGUUAAAGGUGUGACUAAUGUAAUGUACAGUAUGGUUUAUAUCUAAGGUUAAAGGUGUGACUAAUGUAAUGUACAGUAUGGUUUAUGUCUAGUUAAAGGUGUGACUAAUGUAAUGUACAGUAUGGUUUAUGUCUAGUUAAAGGUGUGACUAAUGUAAUGUACAGUAUGGUUUAUGUCUAGUUAAAGGUGUGACUAAUGUAAUGUACAGUAUGGUUUAUAUCUAAGGUUAAAGGUGUGACUAAUGUAAUGUACAGUAUGGUUUAUGUCUAGUUAAAGGUGUGACUAAUGUAAUGUACAGUAUGGUUUAUGUCUAGUUAAAGGUGUGACUAAUGUAAUGUACAGUAUGGUUUAUAUCUAAAGUUAAAGGUGUGACUAAUGUAAUGUACAGUAUGGUUUAUGUCUAGUUAAAGGUGUGACUAAUGUAAUGUACAGUAUGGUUUAUGUCUAGUUAAAGGUGUGACUAAUGUACAGUAUGGUUUAUGUCUAGUUAAAGGUGUGACUAAUGUAAUGUACAGUAUGGUUUAUGUCUAGUUAAAGGUGUGACUAAUGUAAUGUACAGUAUGGUUUAUGUCUAGUUAAAGGUGUGACUAAUGUAAUGUACAGUAUGGUUUAUGUCUAGUUAAAGGUGUGACUAAUGUAAUGUACAGUAUGGUUUAUGUCUAGUUAAAGGUGUGACUAAUGUAAUGUACAGUAUGGUUUAUGUCUAGUUAAAGGUGUGACUAAUGUAAUGUACAGUAUGGUUUAUAUCUAAAGUUAAAGGUGUGACUAAUGUAAUGUACAGUAUGGUUUAUGUCUAGUUAAAGGUGUGACUAAUGUAAUGUACAGUAUGGUUUAUGUCUAGUUAAAGGUGUGACUAAUGUAAUGUACAGUAUGGUUUAUGUCUAGUUAAAGGUGUGACUAAUGUAAUGUACAGUAUGGUUUAUGUCUAGUUAAAGGUGUGACUAAUGUAAUGUACAGUAUGGUUUAUGUCUGAAGUUGAAGGUGUGACUAAUGUAAUGUACAGUAUGGUUUAUGUCUAGUUAAAGGUGUGACUAAUGUAAUGUACAGUA